rnacentral:rRNA from 1 species
GCUUACGGCCAUACCAGCCUGGGGUACGCCCGAUCUCGUCUGAUCUCGGAAGCUAAGCAGGGUCGGGCCUGGUUAGUACUUGGAUGGGAGACCGCCUGGGAAUACCAGGUGCUGUAAGCA